CACGGAAGGGGCAAGCGUUACUCGUACGGACUGGGUGUAAAGCGUUUGUAGGUGAAACCCCGACGGGGGGGUACCGGGUGAGAACCCCGCCGUGCCCCCCGCACCGGGUGGGGUCACCACCAAGUUCAACGUACUCUUGAUGGAGGGGUGGAAUCCACAGAGAUCAAUGGGGACGUUCCAACGCGAAAGCAUUGUAGCGGGGGUGUACCGCCACUGAAAAACGAAAGCGUGGGGAGCCAACCGG
rnacentral:rRNA from 1 species